rnacentral:rRNA from 1 species
GGGGUGACUACACAUGCAGUCGAGCGAGAACUUCGGUUCUAGCGGCGGACGGGUUAGUAACGCGUGGGAACGUGCCCUUCACUACGGAAUAGUCCCGGGAAACUGGGUUUAAUACCGUAUACGCCCUUCGGGGGAAAGAAUUUCGGUGAAGGAUCGGCCCGCGUUAGAUUAGAUAGUUGGUGGGGUAACGGCCUACCAAGUCUACGAUCUAUAGCUGGUUUUAGAGGAUGAUCAGCAACACUGGGACUGAGACACGGCCCAGACUCCUACGGGAGGCAGCAGUGGGGAAUCUUAGACAAUGGGCGCAAGCCUGAUCUAGCCAUGCCGCGUGAGUGAUGAAGGCCUUAGGGUCGUAAAGCUCUUUCGCCAGGGAUGAUAAUGACAGUACCUGGUAAAGAAACCCCGGCUAACUCCGUGCCAGCAGCCGCGGUAAUACGGAGGGGGUUAGCGUUGUUCGGAAUUACUGGGCGUAAAGCGCGCGUAGGCGGAUUGGAAAGUUGGGGGUGAAAUCCCAGGGCUCAACCCUGGAACUGCCUCCAAAACUAUCAGUCUAGAGUUCGAGAGAGGUGAGUGGAACUCCGAGUGUAGAGGUGAAAUUCGUAGAUAUUCGGAAGAACACCAGUGGCGAAGGCGGCUCACUGGCUCGAUACUGACGCUGAGGUGCGAAAGUGUGGGGAGCAAACAGGAUUAGAUACCCUGGUAGUCCACAC